rnacentral:rRNA from 1 species
GACGAACGCUGGCGGCGUGCUUAACACAUGCAAGUCGAACGAAGUGGCGAACGGGUGAGUAACGCGUAAUAAACCUGCCCUUCAGAGGGGGACAACAGUGGGAAACGAAUGCUAAUACCGCAUACAGAAGGAGGGGAAUGCGUUGGAAUAGCAAGUUGGAGGGGGAACGGCCCACCAAGGCGAGGAGCAGGAGCCGGUCGGAGAGGAGUAACGGCCACAUUGGGACUGAGACACGGCCCAGACUCCUACGGGAGGCAGCAGUGGGGAAUCUUCCGCAAUGGACGAAAGUCUGACUGAGCAACGCCGCGUGAGUGAUGACGGCCUUCGGGUUGUAAAGCUCUGUUAAUCGGGGCGCGGUACCGGAAUAGAAAGCCACGGCUAACUACGUGCCAGCAGCCGCGGUAAUUC